UGGGGAAUUUUGGACAAUGGGCGAAAGCCUGAUCCAGCAAUGCCGCGUGUGUGAAGAAGGCCUUCGGGUUGUAAAGCACUUUUGUCCGGAAAGAAAUCCUUGGCUCUAAUACAGUCGGGGGAUGACGGUACCGGAAGAAUAAGCACCGGCUAACUACGUGCCAGCAGCCGCGGUAAUACGUAGGGUGCAAGCGUUAAUCGGAAUUACUGGGCGUAAAGCGUGCGCAGGCGGUUUGCUAAGACCGAUGUGAAAUCCCCGGGCUCAACCUGGGAACUGCAUUGGUGACUGGCAGGCUAGAGUAUGGCAGAGGGGGGUAGAAUUCCACGUGUAGCAGUGAAAUGCGUAGAGAUGUGGAGGAAUACCGAUGGCGAAGGCACGCCCCUGGGCCAAUACUGACGCUCAUGCACGAAAGCGUGGGGAGCAAACAGGAUUAGAUACCCUGGUAGUCCACGCCCUAAACGAUGUCAACUAGUUGUUGGGGAUUCAUUUCCUUAGUAACGUAGCUAACGCGUGAAGUUGACCGCCUGGGGAGUACGGUCGCAAGAUUAAAACUUAAAGGAAUUGACGGGGUCAUAGCUGUUUCCU
rnacentral:rRNA from 1 species